rnacentral:lncRNA from 1 species
AAAGGAUUCCAGCAAUGCCUCUGACCCCUGGGUGUGUGUCUGGGGUAGGCAGAACUCAUCCAAACACCUUCUAGCCCCAGCCUGCCAUAGGACUCCAGCAGCCUCUGCACUCACGGGGCAGCUGGGCUCUCUAAUGAUCUCUUUGUGAUGAGGAAUUGUGGCCCAGCCCAGCAUCAAGGCCAGCUGAGCAGGACAAGGAACCCCACGUGCAGGCCUGGGGCUGUCCGCCAGGCUCCAAGGAGAAAACACAGAUUCUACUAAAAUUGCUGAAAGACACAUGAGAAAGUGUUCAACAUCCUUAGCCAUCAGGGAAAUGCAACUCAAAACUCUGAGACACCAUCUUACUCCUGUCAGAAUGGCUAAAAUAAAAAACACCAAUGACAGUUUAUGCUGGAGAGGAUGAAAGAAAGAUGAACACUCCUCCACUGCUGGUGGGAGUGCCAACUGGUACAGCCACUUUGGAAAUCAGUAUGGCGACGUCUCAAGAAAAUGGGAAUGAGUCUACCACAAGAUCCAGCAACUCCACUCCUAGGCAUAUACCCAAAAGAAGCACAUUCAUACAACAAGGACAUCUGUUCAACCAUGUUCAUUGCAGCACUAUUUGUUAUAGCCAGAAACUGGAAGCAUCCUAGAUGCCCCUCAACUGAAGAAUGGAUAGAGAAAAUGUGGUAAAUUUACACAACGGAGUACUACUCAGCAGAAAAAAACAAUGGAAUCUUGAAAUUUGCAGAAAAAUGGAUAGAACUCGAAGAAACCAUUCUGAGCCAGGUAACCCAAUCACAAAAAGACAAGCAUGAUAUAUACUCACUCAUAUGUGGAUUUUAAACAUAGAGUAAGGGAUUACCAGCCUACAAUCCACACUGCCAGAGAAACUAGUACACAAGGAGGACCCUAACAGAGACAAACUUUGUCCCCUGGAGAAGGGGAAAGGGUCAAUUUCUCCUGAGCAAAUUGAGAGCAUGGGAAGAGUUGGGAGGGAGCUAUGAGAAUGAGAAGGGAAGAAGAGGAAGGAUGCAGAGGUCAUGAGGGAGCAGAAAGGUUGAGUCAGGUGUAGAUUAGAAGAAAGGAUAUGUGAUAGGUAGGGUUUUAGGUGGGG